GUCGACGGGAGAAUUGCUAGCUUGCUAAUAAUUCUCUAGUGGCGCACGGGUGAGUAACACGUGAGUAACCUGCCCCCAAGAGUGGGAUAGCCCCGGGAAACUGGGAUUAAUACCUCAUAAAAUCGCAAGAUUAAAGCAGCAAUGCGCUUGGGGAUGGGCUCGCGUCCUAUUAGUUAGUUGGUGAGGUAACGGCUCACCAAGGCGAUGACGGGUAGCCGGUCUGAGAGGAUGUCCGGCCACACUGGAACUGAGACACGGUCCAGACACCUACGGGUGGCAGCAGUCGAGAAUCAUUCACAAUGGGGGAAACCCUGAUGGUGCGACGCCGCGUGGGGGAAUGAAGGUCUUCGGAUUGUAAACCCCUGUCAUGUGGGAGCAAAUUAAAAAGAUAGUACCACAAGAGGAAGAGACGGCUAACUCUGUGCCAGCAGCCGCGGUAAUACAGAGGUCUCAAGCGUUGUUCGGAAUCACUGGGCGUAAAGCGUGCGUAGGCGGUUUCGUAAGUCGUGUGUGAAAGGCGGGGGCUCAACCCCCGGACUGCACAUGAUACUGCGAGACUAGAGUAAUGGAGGGGGAACCGGAAUUCUCGGUGUAGCAGUGAAAUGCGUAGAUAUCGAGAGGAACACUCGUGGCGAAGGCGGGUUCCUGGACAUUAACUGACGCUGAGGCACGAAGGCCAGGGGAGCGAAAGGGAUUAGAUACCCCUGUAGUCCUGGCAGUAAA
rnacentral:rRNA from 1 species